UCGUGCGUGAUCUUUGUUACUUCGCGCUGACACGGUGGUGGAAGUCGCAACGGAACUUCAGUGCAGCUGCGACGAGCAGCUGACGCGGAAUCAUUUGGAGUAGCCUGCAGUGGAGCUCGCGCCGCGUACGCGACAACGCACGACAGGUCAGGACCACGGUGCUGCGCGCGCGCGGGUGUCGAGACGGGGGACACGCACACGGUACUGGACCGCUCACGCCGCUGCCGCAGCCUCCGGACAGGACAGCCGCGGGGGAUCCGCGCGUGUCUUCGCCGAUCCGCGUGCAAAUGAGCUCGCGCCGCGAGUGCGCGCGUGAAAGAAACGCUUCUGCUACCUGCGCUCGUGGUCGCGUCUCAGUCGCGAACAGUGCGGUGUGUCGUCGUCGUCGUAAUCAUCAUCAUCAUCAUCAUCAUCAUCAUCACCAUCAUCGUUACGCGAUUCCGCGACGUGGUGCAUCGCCGGCUGUGCUCCGCGUUCACGACGACUCCGGGACGAAGACGGCGGUCCUGAGAGGGAGGCCUGUGUAAGAAAGAGCACGGCUGACAAGUGUAUGCGCGCGGGCGCGCCGACGAGGGAAUACUCGCAGUAAAUUGUUGCGGCAAAGUCUAAAAUCUGGUGCAUCUAAACAUGGAACUGACACGAUUACCUUCGCCACUGGCUUUGGCUUUGGCCCUGGCCUUUCUUUCGACGGUACACCGUUGCGACGCCGCCUCGGAAAGUAUAAUAGGAAGCCGUGAGACCUGCGACACCGAGGGGGAAGACAUCACCGUCGACAAGAUCUUGAACACCAGUUGCUUCCGCUGCAUCUGCAAGAACGGAUUUGUGGAGUGUUUAAAGCAACAAUGCCCGAACAUCGAAGGUUGCUACGCGCUGGUGGACCCGCGCGACGACGAGUGCUGUCACAAAUGCACAGGGUGCGUACAGAACGGCAUUUAUCAUGCUUCGGACACGGAAUGGACAGAGGAAAACGAUCCCUGCCAAAUAUUCACCUGUAAAGCGGGCGUCAUUACCGAGUCAAGGCUACGAUGUUACACGCCCUGCUCUCAUCCAAAAGCGGCUCCACCUGGCCAAUGUUGUCCCAUAUGCGAAGGAUGCUUGGUAAAUGGACAGAAAGUAACAGAGGAUAGGUCAGUGACUACGACGGAGGAUCCCUGUGUAACUUGCAAGUGCAAUAAAGGACAUCUCACCUGCGCGAAGCAAGCCUGUCCUACUCUCAAUUGUCCUGCUUCAAGGAUCGUCGACGAAUCCGGCGAAUGCUGCCCGUACUGUCGAGGCAGCGCAAGAUUCUUUUCUCCUCCGAAAGGUGCGUGCAUGCUCGGCACGCGUUUGCAUAAAUCGGGUACUGAAUUUUAUGUGGAUCACUGCACGCGUUGCACCUGCGACAAUUCGGCAAUCUCGUGCGUAAGGGAGACCUGUCCGGUACUGGAGUGCCCCAGAGAGCACCAGGUGACACAAGUCAACCGUUGUUGCCCACAAUGUUCGCUCGUCGAGGAGAGCAGAGCGUCUUGCUCCUACGGCGGAAAAACUUAUGUGGAUGGCGAAAAUUGGAAGCUGGACUCCUGCAAGACAUGCACCUGCAAACAGGGCAAAGUGCGCUGCGCAAUGCCUCAAUGUCCACCGAUGAACUUUCCUUGCCCACCAAAUUCCAAGUUGGAACAUCCGGAGGGUCAGUGCUGUCCCCGAUGUGUCGAGCGUGACGGAGUUUGCACGGUUUUCGGAGACCCUCACUAUCGUACGUUUGACGGUAAAUACUACAGCUUCAAGGGAGCGUGCAAGUAUCAACUGGUUACCGAUUGUUUCUCACACACAUUCAGCAUACGCGUGACCAAUGAUGCCAGAAAAACGAAGUUCUCAGCGUGGACCAAAACUAUCGCCAUAAAGAUCGGCAAUUUGAAAGUGAAUCUUGGCCAAAAAAUGAGAGUAAAGGUAAACGGAAAGAAGGUGGACAUUCCUUAUCGCAUCGCUAAUCAAUUGAACAUCAGCCAUACGGACGACAGUGUGAUCGUUGAAACGUGGAUCGGGGUCAAAGUCCAUUGGGAUGGUAUCAGUUUUCUUGAAGUAUCCGUGCCUUCGUCAUACAGGGGUCAACUAUGCGGUCUCUGUGGUAACUUCAAUUCCCAAAUCAAAGACGACUUUACUGCGCGGAAUGGACGAGUGGUGCAGGAUCCACAGCAAUUCGGUCAAUCCUGGGCCGUGGGUGACAUCAAGAAGAUGUGCACCCGAAUCCCAAGAUUUGGAAAUACUACCAGACAGAAACGUUGUCGAGACAGAAAAGAUCAACGAUUGUGCACUCGACUGAAAUCACAGAUCUUCUACCCCUGCCAUAAGAAGGUGAAUCCACAGAUGUAUUACAAAGCCUGCCUUCAGGAUAUGUGCGAGUGUCCGACCCAGCACUGCUACUGCGAGUCCUUCGUGGCGUACGCGCACGAAUGCAAGCGACUCGACAUCCCGCUGCCGCACUGGCGAAAAGCCACGAGGUGUCGAACCGUUUGGGACCAACGAAUAAGUCAGACGAAUUUCGCUCGCCGCUUACAUUAAUCGCACGCUUUGUCCACCGCCGCGUCCAGCCUCUAGAAACUCCCCCCUCCCCCCUUUUAAGAGACGUACAGCGAGAACAGCCGCAUCGAACUUGAUGUACAUUCUGCAUGCAUUUAGGAAGAGAAUCACUCUAUAUACGACCUUAUUCCCUUUCUUCCCUUUUCUUUUCUAAGAUAACGUUUUAGUGUACGCGAACAACGAAGAAGAGAUACGAUGCUGGAACAGAAAUCUUUAGAAUUAAUGUGCCUGUGUUUUUGUAUAUGAAACUUUAAACGCAGGCGCAAGAAAAAGAACAAAUUUCUCACGGAAAUUCGGAAAUUUCUCUCUUGAAAUUCGGAAUCGAUUUCGGAAAUCGAAUUUCCCGUUGAGCGAGAUAAAGUUUCCGAUUGAAAACUCAGUGAGCGCGUAACACAAAGAACGUGGCACUCUUCUUAGUACUCCGUGACAUGUACCAUGAGGGAUUAAUGCAAAAUAAGUAUUCAUAAAUGCUUAUUUAUUCGUGAAGCAGUGUAAUGCACGUGGCACUUAUAAGUCCGUCGUCUAUAAUGAGAAACGGCAAUAGACUGUUAAUGCGGUAGAAAAUGUUUCGCUGCUUGCGCUGCAAAUGUAAUACGAACAACUGUACGUAUGUCGGCUGACAUCGGAAUAAUCGUGAUGUUGUAUUACGACAAACGACAUACGUAACUGUUAACAAUGAUGAAGCAGAAAAGCAGUUGAAAUUUUCACUCGACUUCGCUGCCAGCUUACGUCUCCUCUUCGACAUAUUCUUCGUGAUGUUAUCUUUUUAUUCCCAAGAGCUCUUUCUGCGGGAGCGCGUAGACCGGACGCGGCGGAGUGCUCGGCGAGAAUCUACUAGUCACCACUUCGUAUCAAUAUGCAUUAACGCAAAUUUUUUCAGUCAGACUCUGACUUGAGUGCCUCUAGUAGCGACUAUUCUCAUCGAUGCGGAGCGGUGGCGAUUUCGCGCUCAUUAGUACGGAAAUCUCACGGCAGCACAAGUACACAGCCAUGACACCCGGAAAACAUGGAUCUUACAUGUGUGUAUGUGUACGUCACGAUUUUAUGUCGCGAAAUCCCGUAAAUCCGAGAGGAAGCAUCGCAAGUCAAGCUAGAGUCGUACAAAUGUCGGAGAACGUAUAAUCUUGCACAGAGCGAAGCGCAAAAAGUAAAAACUCAUAUCUAGAGUUAAAAUACAACUUGAUACCAUUUAAUCCUGAAUUUUUUAUAUCAUAGAUGUAGCUUCGCGUGCGCCAUUCUGAACCGAGAAUGGCACGUCUAGUUCUAGGAUCGUCCCUUGUCCGCGUGGGAUUAUUAUCGAACAAAAAUUGAUGUGACAUACCAUAAUUGACGAAAUGUAGUAUCAUUGAUUGUGUUGUAAUCUCAUAAUUAUUAUCGGCAUUUCUUAAUAACUGUAAAUGCUGCCUUAUGAAUUUUAUAAUAUGUACUUCACUGAAAAGCUUAUGUACGAAUAAACGUAGGAGUAGAAUUCUAACAAGACAUGUACCGAUAUAAAAAAUGGAAUCAAUAUACUUGAAUUCGUGAGGAAUUCUCUUCGAGGACUUUACCAAUUAGCAGCAGAUGACGAUGUCUUGUAAUGUUUCGGAACACCGUGCAGUAUUUCGGCCGAUGAGCAGGCUCGCGGCAUAGCAUGUACAUCCCAAUUUAACGCAAUCGAUCGAUUAAUCUCAUAUAUAUAUAUAUAUAUAUAUAUAUAUAUAUAUAUAUGUAUGUAUGUAUGUGUACGCAUAUAAUGUAUGUAUGAACUCGCGGAUCCUUGAAUCCACAGAUUUGUGCCUCUUACAUUCGUUUUGCGGAUCUCCGCAUUUACAGAUUCGCAAGUUCAACGAAUCAUCGACUAUAUACGACGCAUCGUAGAUUUGUCGUUUCUCAAGCUCUCAUUUUCCGUGAUCUUUGAUCGACUUUAAAUCCGGAAAUACGCAAUCGCAAACUUACAUAAAUUUUUUUAUACGUCCAGCUCCUUUAAUUCACGAAUUCACAAUUCUACGAAUUUUCUUUUGCUUCAUAAAUCACGCAAUCGCUCUCUUGGGACGUAUAAAUUUUUUAUUAUCCCCAGAUCCAUAUAAAUUUCCACGGAUCCGGAUACACCGAUACUGAUACAUUCGCCCCGAAUAUAAUAAAUUCGCAAUUCCACGAAUCGCGCCUGCACCCACGAAUUGUGGUUCCACAAAUAUAUAUUUCUAUUUCUAUGUCCGUGGUGCCAUGGAUCUCUGAUCUCAUCGUAGAUUUUCCCAUUUUACACAGAUCCUUGGAUUCACAGGCCCGCCAUUUAUCAGACUCUUACAUUUUCGUUAUGUAGAAUUAAGAGGGAAUAUUUCCCUAUUUUGUCUUCGAUGACGAGUACACCUUUUUUAUAUUAUAUAUACAACAUAUAUCUAAGUAGCGUAUAACGUAAAUGUUUCUUUAUACUUUAGUUUUAGCGAAGCGUUUGUAUAUAGAACAAGAUUAUUAAGCGAGUACUAAACACAUACUGGUUUCGAUAAGUACGAUUUUUAAAUGCAUCUUUACUUAUUAGUAUCCCUUUUUUAUUCCGCGUUUCAAUUUUCCUUUUUUUUCCUAUUUUCCUACUUCCUACUUUUUCAUCUUACUUUUACCUUUAGUAAAUUGUUACAAAAUUUUGCAAAAGAAAUUGUAGAACCAUUUUACUAGACUAUUACUUUCGUGAAAGGCAACAAGAAAACAGUAUCUUUUUAACUUACAUUAGCAAAAAUGUAUAUAUAGCCGAAAUACACUGUAAUUAAUUAUCAAUGAAGAGUUUCGACGAGGAAUCAAACCAACACUGUAUACCGGUUAGUCCAAAGUGUUAGCUAAUUUUUGACGACUUUAGUGUAGAACUUUUUAAUGUAAAACAGAGAAUUGCGAGCGUAAUAAAUCAAUUAUAUUCGUAAACAUCAUA
rnacentral:misc_RNA from 1 species